rnacentral:rRNA from 1 species
UACGUAGGGUGCAAGCGUUAACCGGAAUUACUGGGCGUAAAGGGCGUGUAGGCGGCUGGUUAAGUCCGUUGUGAAAUCUCCGGGCUCAACCUGGGAAUGGCGAUGGAUACUGGACAGCUAGAGUGUGUCAGAGGAUGGUGGAAUUUCCGGUGUAGCGGUGAAAUGCGUAGAGAUCGGAAGGAACAUCAGUGGCGAAGGCGGCCAUCUGGGACAACACUGACGCUGAAGCACGAAAGCGUGGGGAGCAAACAGG